GAUGAACGCUGGCGGCGUGCCUAAUACAUGCAAGUCGAGCGAACAGACGAGGAGCUUGCUCCUUUGACGUUAGCGGCGGACGGGUGAGUAACACGUAGGUAACCUACCUAUAAGACUGGGAUAACUUCGGGAAACCGGAGCUAAUACCGGAUAAUAUUUCGAACCGCAUGGUUCGAUAGUGAAAGAUGGCUUUGCUAUCACUUAUAGAUGGACCUGCGCCGUAUUAGCUAGUUGGUAAGGUAACGGCUUACCAAGGCAACGAUACGUAGCCGACCUGAGAGGGUGAUCGGCCACACUGGAACUGGGACACGGUCCAGACUCCUACGGGAGGCAGCAGUAGGGAAUCUUCCGCAAAGGGCGAAAGCCUGACGGAGCAACGCCGCGUGAGUGAUGAAGGUCUUCGGAUCGUAAAACUCUGUUAUUAGGGAAGAACAAACGUGUAAGUAACUGUGCACGUCUUGACGGUACCUAAUCAGAAAGCCACGGCUAACUACGUG
rnacentral:rRNA from 1 species